CUGCAGCCAGUUAAGCUGACUGAGUUUCUUUCCUCAUGGGGGCCCCGUGUGCAGUGGCUACAAAUAGCAGCUUCCUUGGUAGUGUGCUCAGCCUGUUUCUUAUAUGGGUUGUUCUAAGGGACCUUGGAGACAGGC
ensembl:snoRNA SNORA70 Small nucleolar RNA SNORA70